rnacentral:rRNA from 1 species
GUGAGUAACACGUGGGUGAUCUGCCCUGCACUUCGGGAUAAGCUUGGGAAACUGGGUCUAAUACCGGAUAGGAGCCAUCUUUAGUGUGGUGGUUGGAAAGUUUUUUCGGUGUAGGAUGAGCUCGCGGCCUAUCAGCUUGUUGGUGGGGUAAUGGCCUACCAAGGCGGCGACGGGUAGCCGGCCUGAGAGGGUGUACGGCCACAUUGGGACUGAGAUACGGCCCAG